rfam:Acyrthosiphon pisum strain LSR1 Contig39968, whole genome shotgun sequence.
AUUUUAGGCCGUGGUGGCGAUAUCGUAACCAAUGAGGUCCAUCCGAGGUGCGAUUAUCACUAGUUGAAAACUUUAACCAACACGCCGUCACGUGGGCAUGAAACAUUGUGUCCGUAGUCAAUUUUUAGAGGCCCUAACGGGC